rnacentral:rRNA from 1 species
AUUGAACGCUGGCGGUAGGCCUAACACAUGCAAGUCGAGCGGCAGCACAGUAAGAGCUUGCUCUUACGGGUGCCGAGUGGCGGACGGGUGCUGAAUACAUCGGAAUCUACUUUUUCGUGGGGGAUAACGUAGGGAAUCUUACGCUAAUACCGCAUACGACCUACGGGUGAAAGCAGGGGAUCUUCGGACCUUGCGCGAUUGAAUGACCCGAUGUCGGAUUAGCUAGUUGGCGGGGUAAAGGCCCACCAAGGCGACGAUCCGUAGCUGGUCUGAGAGGAUGAUCAGCCACACUGGAACUGAGACACGGUCCAGACUCCUACGGGAGGCAGCAGUGGGGAAUAUUGGACAAUGGGCGCAAGCCUGAUCCAGCCAUACCGCGUGGGUGAAGAAGGCCUUCGGGUUGUAAAGCCCUUUUGUUGGGAAAGAAAAGCAGCAGGUUAAUACCCCGCUGUUCUGACGGUACCCAAAGAAUAAGCACCGGCUAACUUCGUG